AAUCUAAAGGACCUGUACUAGGUUUAACAUGUUGAGCAUUACUCAUGUUAGACCUAGUACACGUCCUUUAGAUU